GAUGAACGCUAGCUACAGGCUUAACACAUGCAAGUCGAGGGGAAACGACAUCGAAAGCUUGCUUUUGAUGGGCGUCGACCGGCGCACGGGUGAGUAACGCGUAUCCAACCUGCCCACCACUUGGGGAUAACCUUGCGAAAGUAAGACUAAUACCCAAUGACGUCUCUAGAAGACAUCUGAAAGAGAUUAAAGAUUUAUCGGUGCUGGAUGGGGAUGCGUCUGAUUAGCUUGUUGGCGGGGUAACGGCCCACCAAGGCGGCGAUCAGUAGGGGUUCUGAGAGGAAGGUCCCCCACAUUGGAACUGAGACACGGUCCAAACUCCUACGGGAGGCAGCAGUGAGGAAUAUUGGUCAAUGGACGAGAGUCUGAACCAGCCAAGUAGCGUGCAGGAUGACGGCCCUAUGGGUUGUAAACUGCUUUUAUAAGGGAAUAAAGUGAGUCUCGGGAGACUUUUUGCAUGUACCUUAUGAAUAAGGACCGGCUAAUUCCGUG
rnacentral:rRNA from 1 species